UCCCUGGCAGUCCAGUGGUUAGGUCUUGGCGCUUUCACUGUUGAGGGCCCAGGUUCGAUCCCUGGUCAGGGAA
rnacentral:tRNA from 1 species